ACGACUACAUUAGGAUACCCCCGUAGUCCUAGCCGUAAACGAUACUCGCUAGGUGUCGGCCACGGUGCGACCGUUGUCGGUGCCGUAGGGAAGCCGUGAAGCGAGCCACCUGGGAAGUACGGCCGCCAAGGCUGAAACUUAAAGGAAUUGGCGGGGAGCACCACAACGGGUGGAGCUUGCGGUUUAAUUGGAUUCAACGCCGGAAAUCUUACCGGGACCGACAGCAACAUGAAGGCCAAGCUGAAGACUUUGCCGGAUUAGCUG
rnacentral:rRNA from 1 species